rnacentral:misc_RNA from 1 species
GUGAAAGUGACCUAUGCUUCUGCAAGGGCUCCUGAUGAUCUUGACACGAGACUUCUUCGUGCAAUGAUCACCAAGGGGUUGAUCGAACCAAUCUCCAGUGUUUUCGUCAAUCUGGUCAAUGCUGACUUCACUGCGAAACAGAGGGGAGUUCGUAUCACUGAGGAGAGAAUCUUGUUGGAUGGCUCACCCGAGACACCUAUUG